UGGGGAAUAUUGCACAAUGGGCGAAAGCCUGAUGCAGCAACGCCGCGUGCGGGAUGACGGCCUUCGGGUUGUAAACCGCUUUCAGCAGGGACGAAGGUUUUCUGACGGUACCUGCAGAAGAAGCACCGGCUAACUACGUGCCAGCAGCCGCGGUGAUACGUAGGGUGCGAGCGUUGUCCGGAAUUAUUGGGCGUAAAGAGCUUGUAGGCGGUCCGUUGCGUCGGAAGUGAAAAACUCAGGGCUUAACCCUGAGCCUGCUUUCGAUACGGGCGGACUUGAGGGAUGUAGGGGAGAACGGAAUUCCUGGUGGAGCGGUGGAAUGCGCAGAUAUCAGGAGGAACACCAGUGGCGAAGGCGGUUCUCUGGACAUUUCCUGACGCUGAGAAGCGAAAAGCGUGGGGAGCAAAACAGGCUUAGAUACCCUGGUAGUCCACGCCGUAAAACGGUGGGCACUAGGUGUGGGACCCAUUCCACGGGUUCCGUGCCGUAGCUAACGCAUUAAAGUGCCCCGCCUGGGGAGUACGGCCGCAAGGCUAAAAACUUAAAAUGAAAUUGACGGGGUCAUAGCU
rnacentral:rRNA from 1 species